CAGCAGUCUUUAAUGGAGCCCCUGCUGUAUGUACCCCAGUUCCUGUGUCAGACACGGCAGCACACAGGCGUCUGCAGCAUCGGGAGAUACGAUAUGAUGGUGUGGAAACUUAGAUGCAGAAAAAUGACUUGCCGGAGGUCAGCACAUCUGAUAGGUGCAGAUGAGCUCAGCCUGCCUGGGUCCGGAGUCAGUGCUCUGAGCUGCAGGCACUGGCUUGGGGGCAAGUCUGGCUCUGAGAGUGAUUUGCUGUGUGAUGAUGGACAAGUCCUCUGCCUUCUCAGCCUCCGUUCUUGAUCUGCAACAUGAGCAGCCGUGGUACCUGCCUACAGGGUCGGACAGGACUGAACGACUGAACAUGCACGCACGCAUGCGCAGUUUUAGAGUCACAGACAAGAGCCAGCCUAGAGGAUGCUGAGGGCCCGGCCCAGCUCUGAAAAUCUAAAUCCUGUGGUUGCAGCUGGGGGAGUGACUCCAGCAGGCACCUGGGCCCUGAUCAUGUGUGACGUGUACCCUGAUGUAUUCAUCUAGGACUCCAGGUAUGGUCGAAUAAUAAACAUUCACACGGCUUUCACAGUCAGGUAUUUAUCUACUCAAUUAAUUUUUGCUGAGAUCUGCCCUGUCCCAGGCUCUUGUGUUUGGAGCCGGGGGCAGAGAUGACCAAGACAAGAGUCCCUGACCUCAGAGAACUCAUGGGUUAGUCGGGGAGAUGGAUGCCUUAAUAGACAACCACAGUAGUUGCUGAAAGCCGUGACAGAGGCUUGGGCAAACACUGUUGCAAGGCAGAAGGGAAGCCAUCACGCUCAGAGAGGCUGUACAGCGGAAGGACUUUUGAGCAUCAUCUUUAAAAAAAAAGUGUAAUAACAUUUUAUUUAGCCCAGCGUUUCAAAAUAUCAACAAAUAAUAUUAUCCAGUAAAAUUGAUGGAAAAAUUCCAGAGGUUUUUACAUCUUUUCCGAAGUCUUCCAAAUCUGGUGUGUGUUUUGCACUUAUGGCGCAUCUUAGUUCGUCCUGAUCACAUGUCAGGGUUCUGUAGCCUCUAGUGUGGAGCAGCAUGUCCUUUGAUUCUCACAACAGCUCUGGGAGCUCAGUAGGGCUUUUGCUCCCACUUUGCAAGUUGAGGAAGCAGAGACUCAGGGGAGCAUCUUGCCCAGGGUCACGACUACUCCCUGAUGGGGGCAGGCUGGAACCGACAGCUGUGUGGUUGCAAAGCCUGUCUUCCUGCUGCCCUGGUCUGUCCCUGGACCAACCCCUUCUUGCCAGAGUGAAGCAGCUGACAAGGGCUAACGUCAAAACUUUAACUGAAGUCCUCUGACCCCAAAUCCUGCAGUGUUUCUACCUCGGCUGAUUCCAGGGGACAGAUUAAGGGCAGGUUGUUGUUGUUCAGUUGCCAAGUCGUGUCCGACUCUGUGACGCGGUGGACUGCAGCCUGCCAGGUCCCCCAUUCCCUCACCAUCUCCCGGAGUUCACAGAUAAGGGAAGAUAAUAAACUUCCAAAAUGGGUUCCAACCCCUAUUCUUCUAGGACCUUGAGACAGCAUGGGGGUAGGGUGAUGGCGGAGGAGAACUGAGCACUUCUGGUUAAGUUGCUAAAUUCUCCCUUGGGAGGAAGGGAUAGUUAAGGGGUGGGAGGUGAGGGCUGCACGGGAUGGUGGCAACUAGACCAGGCAAACCAGAAAACGGCUGCAAGUGAUCCUGGCGUCUUUGCCAACGCCGUGGCCCGAGAUUCCUUCUGAGCUUGAACACAGGACUAUCCAGAAACGCUCACUCCCAGAGCCUAGGGUCGUAGUUAAAGUUCACAGUGAGUUCGUUACCAUCAUUUUCACAAUGAUGCUUGGGAAAUUACAAUGGGAUGAUAAAGGUAAGACAUUUGGAUGAGCGACUUAGCCCAGAUUCUCGGGGGUAGAUUCUUAGACCCACAUGCAUGCAUUGGAGGGAAAAUCAGAGCCAGGGAAGAAUGGCUGGAAGCAAGGGGAGUUCCCGGCACAUCCAGGAUGUGUGUUUAUGUGUUUGUGAUUCCAGAGAUGUGUGACGCUAAGAGUAAUGAUCAGUAGUUGAGUAUUCCCGACCUAUUGAUUACUCAUCGAUUAUCCAUCCACCCAUAGAAUCAUCCAUCCAACCAUCCCCUUGAGGUCCUAUAUGCCUGCCCAUGGACCUGUCUCUCAAUUUGUUCUUUCCUUCACCCACCCUUCAUUCAUUCUGUCCCCUCUCCUGUCACCUACCCAUCUGUCACCAUCAACUCUGGACCCAAUCAUCUGCUGAAUGCUCAACGGGCAACGGUGAGUAAAAUUCAAGCCUUCCUUCAGACCUGGUGAGUGGACAGCCCUUAGUCCAAGCAAGGGAGCAAGUGUGGUGAUGGAGAGGAUUUCUAGGAGCUUCAAGGAGGAAAUGCCCAAUUGUGACUUCCUGUGAGUCAGGAAGCCUGCCUGAGGAAGAAACACCCAAGCUGGUCUUGAAAGAGGAACAGGGGCUUGUGAAGGCCGAAGAAGGAAGCCUGGCUGAUGAGAUGGGCAGUGAUGCGGGCUGGCCAGGGAUGCAGAAGAACCCGCCACAGAAGCUGGUGGGAGGGAAUGGAGGAGCACUGGCCUCCAGCCAAGUUUCACCCCCGGCUCUCACGGUCACAACACAGACGUCCAUCGCAACCUUCCCUGGCCUUCCCUUAGCACAGGGUCUGGGAUGUCAGACUCAGAAGACCUAGACAGCACCCAAGAUAUCCCCCUUAUUGCAUCCAAGAAACUGACCUGCCAGAGUCUCCAACUCCGGUACCUUCUGGGUUCUCUCCCUUAGCAUCUAGAUCCCGACUCCUCCACACUCAGCGGACACUGCAGUCUUCACCCUUGCAGCCCCUCAGGGCCUGGCAUGGAGUUGGGCCCAGAACAAGGGACCUUCCCC